UACGAAGGGGGCGAGCGUUGUUCGGAAUUAUUGGGCGUAAAGGGCGCGUAGGCGGCCAUGCGUGUCUUCCGUGAAAUCCCUCGGCUUAACUGAGGACGUGCGGAAGAAACUGCAAGGCUCGAGUCCGGGAGAGGGGGGUGGAAUUCCCAGUGUAGCGGUGAAAUGCGUAGAUAUUGGGAGGAACACCGGUGGCGAAGGCGGCCCCCUGGACCGGUACUGACGCUGAGGCGCGAAAGCGUGGGUAGCAAACAGG
rnacentral:rRNA from 1 species